rnacentral:rRNA from 1 species
UUUUAACGGAUUUUUACUUUAUAGCUUGCUAUAGAGAAUAGUUAGUGGCAGACGGAUGAGUAAUGCAUAGGAAUCUACCUAGUAGUAUGGGAUAGCCACUAGAAAUGGUGGGUAAUACUGUAUAAUCCCUGCGGGGGAAAGAUUUAUCGCUAUUAGAUGAGCCUAUGUUAGAUUAGCUAGUUGGUAGGGUAAAGGCCUACCAAGGCGAUGAUCUAUAGCUGGUCUGAGAGGAUGAUCAGCCACACUGGAACUGAGAUACGGUCCAGACUCCUACGGGAGGCAGCAGUGGGGAAUAUUGGACAAUGGGCGCAAGCCUGAUCCAGCUAUGCCGCGUGAGUGAGGAAGGCCUUAGGGUUGUAAAACUCUUUCAGUAGGGAAGAUAAUGACGGUACCUACAGAAGAAGUCCCGGCAAACUCCGUGCCAGCAGCCGCGGUAAUACGGAGGGGGCAAGCGUUGUUCGGAAUUAUUGGGCGUAAAGGGCAUGUAGGCGGUUCGGUAAGUUAAAGGUGAAAUGCCAGGGCUUAACCCUGGAGCUGCUUUAAAAAUACUGCCCC